UUUUUUUGUUUUCAUUUCCCCUCUAUGUUCCCUCAAAACAUAGAAAACCCUUCAUUUUCACUCAUUUUCCCUCUACGUUCCCUCACCCAUUUCCCUCAAAACAAAAUCCUUGUUCUCGAUUCCUCAAAUCUCCUUUUCACAGAAAUCCUUAUUUGAGAAUGUUUCAGGAGUGGCUUCUUGUCAUGCCAUGGUAUUCAAGCGGCAAGUGUUGAUUGAUUAAUCGUGUUGCACAGCUGCUGUCAAGGAGAAAAUGUGGCGUUGAAUUAGCUGUUUGGUUCAGAGAUUGAAAGGGUAAAAUUGAGGCCGUCAUAGCUACUGCUCUUUUGGGCUCAUUAAAUGAUUCAUUAGAAGAUCAAGAACUCGAUAUAAAUCGCAUGUACUUUGAUGUUGUUGGUGGAGAAAAAAACCAGUGUGUGUAUGGAUUGGGCUCUCAGGAUUCAACCUUCUAUAAAGAUCAAAAUUCUAUCAAUUCGACAAAUUUAGUACCCGAUCAUGUUGCCGAAGAGUGCAUCAAAAUACUUGAGAAAAAGGUGUUGCAAAUGAGAGAAAAUCAAGAGACUUUUGCUUUAAAUUUUAAACGUUGGUAGACUUUUGCUUAUUGAAGUUGUGAUUUUGCAUGUCUAAUUAACUUCAAACUUUUUUUAUUAUAAAUCGUGUAUUAUGUUUGUUUUGUUAUGAUGGUUAAUUAUUUUUAAUUAAUUUCUCUCUCUCUCUCUCUCUA